rnacentral:lncRNA from 1 species
CUAAAAGCCACACUAUUCUCUGUAUUGAAGCAUGGAAAAUAGCUUUGUGAUGGCAAGUGGGGGAUUUGGCUGAAGGAGUGAGCAGGAUAAAGACCUCAGAAGACCUCACACACCAUCUAAGGCACUCAGACUGGAGGAUCCUGAUGAUAACAGGGAGUCAGUACAAACGCAGAAUCAAGAAAGAGACACAGAAGAUGCUAUUAGAAGGAUCAUGGGUUGAAGAGGGUAGGACCAGAGGCGGAGACCAAUUAGGAGGCUGUUUGAACAGCCUAGAAGGGAGAUGACCUGGCCUGAAGAGCAAUGACAGCUGGAACAGGUGAGUUCUGGAAUGGUAAGUGGUCAGGAUGGUGUGGAAGAUGUCCACAUCCUAAUCCCCAGAACCUGUGACUGUCAUUUUAAAUGACAAAAGGGACCUUGCAGAUGUGACUAAAUUAAUGAUCUAGAGAUGAGGAGAUUAUUUUAGGUUAUCCAGGGGCCCAGUGUAAUCAUAGGGGUCCUCCACAACAGUGAGUAGGAGGAAGGCAACAUGACGGCAGACACAGAGAUCCAAGUGAUGUGGCUAUAAGCCGAGGAAUGCAGGCCACCUGGAAAAGCUGGAGGGCGGGGAGUGGACUCUCCCCCAGAGCCUCCAGAGGAACUGACCCCGCCGACAGCUUAAGUUUAGUGCACAAAAUUCGUUUCAGAUUUCUGAUCACCACACCUGUAAGAACGAUCCUAAAUUUGUGUUGUGUUAAGCCAUAAAGUUUGUGGUUAAGAGUUGUCCCUCACUAUCUGUGGGGGAUUGUUUCCAGGACCCCCUAAGUAUGCCCAAAUCCAUAUACUCAAGUCCUGAAGUAAUGGCAGGUACAUGUGGAAUCCACUGUAUACACAGGCCUCGCAUCCUGCAAACACUGUAUUUGUGAUCUGCAGUUGAAAAAAAUCUGUGUCUAAGUGGACCCAUGCACUUCAAACCCUUGUUGUUUAAGGGUCGAUGGCAUUUGUUACAUCAACAAUAGGAAGCCAAUACAGAUGGUUAAGACUUUGUGACCAGGUGGUUAUCAAAGAAGGAAAGGGAGGGGUCCCAGAAAGGGUUGAGGAAGAGGUGAGGAUUUUGGCUUGGGUGAUGGGGCUGGCAGUGAGACUAUUACAAUCAGGACUGUGGAUAGUGAGGAGGGGGUGGUUGGGGAAUGGUGGGAUGGUAACGUGUCCUGUCUUGGACAUGGUGAGUCUGAAGUGUGCAUGGGACAUCCAGAAGGAAGGUCUGGAACCUAGGGCAGAACUUGAGAGUGAUCAGUACACACAGGCUCCAAUCUGAAAACUGCUGGGAGAACAUGUGGCCAAGGACAUGGGUUUCCUUUUUUGGCUCAUACUCUGUGAUGUGAGACCAAAAGUCUCUCCUAAAUGCAGCUGUUGGGCACUUAAACCACCCUCCUAGCACCCUUCCUUACUCACUUCCCUCUUUGACAGUGAAUAGAAGCCACAUAGACUCUUCCGAGGAGUACCCAUGUGUCACUUCUGGGACAGGCAGCCUCACUCCUGCCAGGGCCGUGCAGGGCAGUCCACAGGCCAAAGGUCCAAGUAGAUUCAGCGCUGCUGAGUUGCUUCUGGGAUAUAAAAAGGAAAGAGGCCG